AGUGAACGCUGGCGGUAGGCCUAACACAUGCAAGUCGAACGGCAGCACAGUAAGAGCUUGCUCUUACGGGUGGCGAGUGGCGGACGGGUGAGGAAUACAUCGGAAUCUACUUUUUCGUGGGGGAUAACGUAGGGAAACUUACGCUAAUACCGCACACGACCUACGGGUGAAAGCAGGGGAUCUUCGGACCUUGUGCGAUUGAAUGAGCCGAUGUCGGAUUAGCUAGUUGGCGGGGUAAAGGCCCACCAAGGCGACGAUCCGUAGCUGGUCUGAGAGGAUGAUCAGCCACACUGGAACUGAGACACGGUCCAGACUCCUACGGGAGGCAGCAGUGGGGAAUAUUGGACAAUGGGCGCAAGCCUGAUCCAGCCAUACCGCGUGGGUGAAGAAGGCCUUCGGGUUGUAAAGCCCUUUUGUUGGGAAAGAAAAGCAGCAGGUUAAUACCCCGCUGUUCUGACGGUACCCAAAGAAUAAGCACCGGCUAACUUCGUG
rnacentral:rRNA from 1 species